CGUCAAAGUGGUGGUGAUGUG
rnacentral:miRNA from 9 species